rnacentral:rRNA from 1 species
UACGGAGGGUCCAAGCGUUGUUCGGAUUUAUUGGGCGUAAAGGGUGCGUAGGCGGCGUAUUAAGUCUGGUGUGAAAGGCGUGGGCUCAACCCGCGGACUGCAUUGGAUACUGGUAUGCUAGAGGACUGGAGAGGAGAAUGGAAUUCACGGUGGAGCAGUGAAAUGCGUAGAUAUCGUGAGGAAGGCCAGUGGCGAAGGCGAUUCUCUGGACAGUACCUGACGCUGAGGCACGAAGGCUGGGGGAGCGAACAGG